rnacentral:snRNA from 1 species
CUGGGCUCGGGGGUCCCA